rnacentral:rRNA from 1 species
GACGAACGCUGGCGGCGUGCCUAAUACAUGCAAGUUGAGCGCUGAAGGUUGGUACUUGUACCAACUGGAUGAGCAGCGAACGGGUGAGUAACGCGUGGGGAAUCUGCCUUUGAGCGGGGGACAACAUUUGGAAACGAAUGCUAAUACCGCAUAAAAACUUUAAACACAAGUUUUAAGUUUGAAAGAUGCAAUUGCAUCACUCAAAGAUGAUCCCGCGUUGUAUUAGCUAGUUGGUGAGGUAAAGGCUCACCAAGGCGAUGAUACAUAGCCGACCUGAGAGGGUGAUCGGCCGCAUUGGGACUGAGACACGGCCCAAACUCCUACGGGAGGCAGCAGUAGGGAAUCUUCGGCAAUGGACGAAAGUCUGACCGAGCAACGCCGCGUGAGUGAAGAAGGUUUUCGGAUCGUAAAACUCUGUUGGUAGAGAAGAACGUUGGUGAGAGUGGAAAGCUCAUCAAGUGACGGUAACUACCCAGAAAGGGACGGCUAACUACGUG